UACGUAGGUGGCAAGCGUUGUCCGGAUUUACUGGGCGUAAAGAGCGCGCAGGCGGUUGGAUAAGUCGAAUGUGAAAGCCCCCCGGCUCAACUGGGGAGGGUCAUUCGAUACUGUCCGACUCGAAGGCAGGAGAGGGAAGCGGAAUUCCCGGUGUAGUGGUGAAAUGCGUAGAUAUCGGGAGGAACACCAGUGGCGAAGGCGGCUUUCUGGCCUGUUCUUGACGCUGAGGCGCGAAAACUAGGGUAGGCAAACGGG
rnacentral:rRNA from 1 species